GUGUAUACCGUACCCUGUUGCUUCGGCGGGCCCGCCUCACGGCCGCCGGGGGACCUCGCGUCCCCGGGCCCGCGCCCGCCGAAGACCCCAACACGAACACUGUCUGAAAAGUGCAGUCUGAGUCGAUUGUUACCAAUCAGUCAAAACUUUCAACAAUGGAUCUCUUGGUUCCGGCAUCGAUGAAGAACGCAGCGAAAUGCGAUAACUAAUGUGAAUUGCAGAAUUCAGUGAAUCAUCGAGUCUUUGAACGCACAUUGCGCCCCCUGGUAUUCCGGGGGGCAUGCCUGUCCGAGCGUCAUUGCUGCCCUCAAGCACGGCUUGUGUGUUGGGCCCCGUCCCCGGUACCCCCGGGGACGGGCCCGAAAGGCAGCGGCGGCACCGCGUCCGGUCCUCGAGCGUAUGGGGCUUUGUCACCCGCUCUGCAGGCCCGGCCGGCGCCAGCCGACCAACCCAACCAUUUUUUACAGGUUGACCUCGGAUCAGGUAGGGAUACCCGCUGAACUUAAGCAUAUC
rnacentral:rRNA from 1 species